rnacentral:rRNA from 1 species
AGAGUUUGAUCAUGGCUCAGAUUGAACGCUGGCGGCAUGCUUUACACAUGCAAGUCGAACGGCAGCACGGGGGCAACCCUGGUGGCGAGUGGCGAACGGGUGAGUAAUGCAUCGGAACGUGCCCAGUAGUGGGGGAUAACGCGUCGAAAGAUGUGCUAAUACCGCAUACGCACUACGGUGGAAAGCGGGGGACCGCAAGGCCUCGCGCUAUUGGAGCGGCCGAUGUCCGAUUAGCUAGUUGGUAGGGUAAUGGCCUACCAAGGCAACGAUCGGUAGCUGGUCUGAGAGGAUGAUCAGCCACACUGGGACUGAGACACGGCCCAGACUCCUACGGGAGGCAGCAGUGGGGAAUUUUGGACAAUGGGCGAAAGCCUGAUCCAGCCAUGCCGCGUGAGUGAAGAAGGCCUUCGGGUUGUAAAGCUCUUUCGGCCGGAACGAAAUCGUCCGAGCUAAUACCUCGGAUGGAUGACGGUACCGGAAGAAGAAGCACCGGCUAACUACGUGCCAGCCGCCGCGGUAAUAC